rnacentral:rRNA from 1 species
UACGGAGGAUGCGAGCGUUAUCCGGAUUUAUUGGGUUUAAAGGGAGCGUAGGCCGGCUUUUAAGUCAGCUGUGAAAGUCCGCGGCUCAACCGUGGAAUUGCAGUUGAAACUGGAGGCCUUGAGUGCACACAGGGAUGCCGGAAUUCAUGGUGUAGCGGUGAAAUGCUUAGAUAUCACGCAGAACCCCGAUUGCGAAGGCAGCGUACCGGCUCCACACUGACGCUGAGGCACGAAAGCGUGGGGAUCGAACAGG